GCUGACACGAAGGGGGGGGGGAAUCCUCACGUGGCGGGGCUACUGCUCUGCCAUUGGCCAGCGGGCGCUGUGACGAUGCCCCAGAGGAGGGGCGCGCGGUCGGAAACAUCCAUUCCGUGGCUCGGGGCGGGGAGACACCCCCACCCCUGGUCCUGGGGGCUUUGGUCUGUCCCGCCGCGCGGGCGGGGUCACUCAGCGAGGAGGCGCGUCCCGCCUGAGAGGAGCCGCGGGGCUCCCUGACAGACUCCGGCCUUCUCUGAGCGCUUCAGCCUUCUCCAGCGCGGGAAUGCAGAGGUUUUGGGGAGUUUGGUGCUAGAAUGCAGAGCACCUACCUCACCCCCAACCUGAAACAGAAGCAUCCAGGAAUGUGGAUCAGUGCUGCCUCCUCAGAUCAGCCGCACCAUCCCAAACAGACGCUUCUUCAGACCUGUGCAUCAGCAGGAGGGAGUUGCCAAUUUUGAUCAUCUGUACAAAAUACAUCAGCUCUUAUGUCUGGAUCAAAAUCAACACUCUAAGUUUCCAAGCCACUUACGCCACAUUCCUGAGAAAGGGGAAAGCACGUCCCACUCCCUUUGGGCACUAUACACCAGCUCCUUUACGGUAUCCCAUUGUCAGAUGACCAUGUACUGAGUUUGUAAAAACAUCCUCCUGUCUUACACAACUCCGCGUUCCCCCGUGUCGUAGGAAGCUGCCGAGCCCCAUUCACCUACCAGCUGUAGUAGCUGUGCCGCACAGAGAUGGACCUUCCACCCUUGUGCACGACAGGAUACACCCUUCUGAUUGGCAAUCUCCUGCAGCAUAGCCUUCUUCUCUUCUGUCACCGGGAAACACAAAGAUAUGUUAUUCAAAUUUCAGGAGUUUGCCAGGCCUCUCUUCUCAAAAACAUUAACCCAACAACUCUGGCUCUCCAUACAUCGUAAUAAAUGAGAGUGAGCAACGUUUUGAUUUGGAUAGGAAAAUAGCUACCCAGCUGCCAUGUAUCUGACCGCUGCUCUCGCUUAUUAACAAGUUAUCUGUAUUUCCAGAAAAAUUAUAUCCUGUUUCCCCCCACCCCAUUAAAAAAAGAUAGUGCUCAGUGUUUCAACACCCUGUGUGAACACGUAGAGAGUCCAUUCUUUACCACUGAAAUACCUAUCUACUCCCUCCUUGAUGUGUUUACACAGUUGUGAAAACCCAAUCUGCUUAAAAAUGCUAAGAUAUUAGCUAAAAAAGUCUAAAAAAACCCCCCAAAACCCAGUAUCUGAUCUCCAUUUCCCUCAUAUUAGGAAAAAAGUCUCCUUUAAAAGUCCAUUUGUUAGUUGACAAGACUAGUUACACUAACUCUAGAACAUUUUUGAUUAAAACUGGCAAGUUUGUUAGGCAGUAAGAAAAUCAGAAAACUAAACUGUAGCACAGUACCAUAGCAUGUCCCUGCUUUAAGGAUUCCUUUCUUUAGUAAGUUUCUAUCACUGUACAUAAAUACAUUUCUCAGUAACCCCAUGAUUUUUUCCUUUCAUGAAAUGAUAGCUAAUUAAUUCUAUGUAGUGCCCUUCCCUUCUUUCCUCCUUUAUCUUGAGAGUGGAAGAGAUUUAGGCAACAUCUCACUAAUGAAAGUCAUUAGCUUACUUGAUCAACCCUUGUUUUCCAAAUUGCAAUCAAAACCUUUUUGUGGGAUUGCUUACACCACCAGCUAGCUAGGAAUGCACCUAAGAUACUCCUAACAGGUAUGCGGUUCAUCCCGGAUGAACGAAACUCUCAAACUACAAGAAGCAGACCGACCUUUUACCCGGACAUCACUGUAUCUCUGAAAGUGGUGGUAAGCAGCUUUCCAAGGAUUGCGAUAAUGCCGGAGCAACGUGAUAGGCGGCCUUGGACGCACAGGGACGUAUCUUACCCCUUCUUCAUCUACAAGAAGAUCCAGAGACAACGGUAUUAUUCAUCAAGGAGGUGAAAGAAGGAGAUCAGCAUGACACAAUAACUCCAGCAGAAAAUCGGUAAGCACUACCUCAUACAAAAUGACGCAUUAUAUGUCAAGAUAGGUUAUUUGCCCUGAACGUCACCACACAGAAGGUGCCGCGAAACUGAUACUUGGAUUCUGUAAUAUAAGUAUUUUCAAAGCAGGAGAAUGAUAGACCACCUUCUCUGAGAAACAAGAGGAAGCAAAAAUACAGAUAUUUGAACAGGAAAAGAGACAUUAGAGGUGACAUUACCUAUAUACUCCUUUGGAGGUGACUUGCGCUUCUCUGCCUUCACCAGCAAACUUUUGGCAGUGGAUUUCUCAUCAUCAGUGCUGUUUGUUUCCAUCAUGUCCCCUUCCUCUGUGGAGAUGACAUGCUGCUGCUUACGGGGUUUCUUCCUCGGGGAGGCACCAGGUGGCAAAUCACUUGGAGGCAUU